rnacentral:misc_RNA from 1 species
GGACUACUGGGGUUUCUAAUCCUGUUUGCUACCCACGCUUUCGCAUCUCAGCGUCAAUUACUGUCCAGCAAGCUGCCUUCGCCAUUGGUGUUCCUCCAUAUAUCUACGCAUUCCACCGCUACACAUGGAAUUCCACUUGCCCCUCCAGUAUUCUAGUUUACCAGUAUCCAAUGCAAUUUAGUGGUUGAGCCACUAGCUUUCACACCAGACUUAAUAAACCGCCUACAUGCUCUUUACGCCCAAUAAUUCCGGAUAACGCUCGGGACCUACGUAUUACCGCGGCUGCUGGCACGUAGUUAGCCGUCCCUUUCUGGUAAGGUACCGUCAGAUACAUAUCAUUUCCUAUAUGUAGUUUUCUUCCCUUACAACAGAGGUUUACGAUCCGAAAACCUUCAUCCCU